GGUGUUGCAUGGUUGUCGUCAGCUCGUGUCGUGAGAUGUUGGGUUAAGUCCCGCAACGAGCGCAACCCUUAAGCUUAGUUGCCAGCAUUCAGUUGGGCACUCUAAGGUGACUGCCGGUGACAAACCGGAGGAAGGUGGGGAUGACGUCAAAUCAUCAUGCCCCUUAUGACCUGGGCUACACACGUGCUACAAUGGACGGUACAAACGGUUGCCAACCCGCGAGGGGGAGCUAAUCCGAUAAAACCGUUCUCAGUUCGGAUUGUAGGCUGCAACUCGCCUACAUGAAGCCGGAAUCGCUAGUAAUCGUGGAUCAGCAUGCCACGGUGAAUACGUUCCCGGGUCUUGUACACACC
rnacentral:rRNA from 1 species